AGUGAACGCUGGCGGUAGGCCUAACACAUGCAAGUCGAACGGCAGCACAGUAAGAGCUUGCUCUUACGGGUGGCGAGUGGCGGACGGGUGAGGAAUACAUCGGAAUCUACUUUUUCGUGGGGGAUAACGUAGGGAAACUUACGCUAAUACCGCAUACGACCUACGGGUGAAAGCAGAGGAUCUUCGCACCUUGCGCGAUUGAAUGAGCCGAUGUCGGAUUAGCUAGUUGGCGGGGUAAAGGCCCACCAAGGCGACGAUCCGUAGCUGGUCUGAGAGGAUGAUCAGCCACACUGGAACUGAGACACGGUCCAGACUCCUACGGGAGGCAGCAGUGGGGAAUAUUGGACAAUGGGCGCAAGCCUGAUCCAGCCAUACCGCGUGGGUGAAGAAGGCCUUCGGGUUGUAAAGCCCUUUUGUUGGGAAAGAAAAGCAGCAGGUUAAUACCCCGCUGUUCUGACGGUACCCAAAGAAUAAGCACCGGCUAACUUCGUG
rnacentral:rRNA from 1 species